GAUGAACGCUAGCGGGAGGCUUAAUACAUGCAAGUCGUACGGUAACAGGUGUAGCAAUACAUGCUGACGAGUGGCGCACGGGUGAGGAACACGUACACAAUCUGCCUUUGACUGGGGGAUAGCCCUGGGAAACUAGGGUUAAUACCCCAUAACAUUAUGAGAUGGCAUCAUCUUGUAACUAAACCUCCGGGGGUCAGAGAUGAGUGUGCGUCCGAUUAGGUAGUUGGUAGGGUAACGGCCUACCAAGCCAACGAUCAGUAGCUGGCGUGAGAGCGCGACCAGCCACACGGGCACUGAGACACGGGCCCGACUCCUACGGGAGGCAGCAGUAGGGAAUAUUGGACAAUGGCUGAAAAGCUGAUCCAGCCAUCCCGCGUGAAGGCAGAAGGUCCUAUGGAUUGUAAACUUCUUUUCUCUGGGAAGAAAACCCUUGUUCACAAGGUACUGACGGUACCAGAGGAAUAAGCACCGGCUAACUCCGUGCCAGCAGCCGCGGU
rnacentral:rRNA from 1 species